UACGUAGGCAGCGAGCGUUGUUCGGAGUUACUGGGCGUAAAGGGUGUGUAGGCGGUUCUUUAAGUUUGGUGUGAAAUCUCCCGGCUCAACUGGGAGGGUGCGCCGGAAACUGAAGGGCUAGAGUGCGGGAUGGGAGAGUGGAAUUCCUGGUGUAGCGGUGAAAUGCGUAGAUAUCAGGAGGAACACCGGUGGUGUAGACGGCUCUCUGGACCGUAACUGACGCUGAGACACGAAAGCGUGGGGAG
rnacentral:rRNA from 1 species